GAUGAAGAACGCAGCGAAAUGCGAUAAGUAAUGUGAAUUGCAGAAUUCAGUGAAUCAUCGAAUCUUUGAACGCACAUUGCGCCCGUCAGUAUUCUGGCGGGCAUGCCUGUUCGAGCGUCAUUACGCCCCUCAAGUCCCCUGUGGACUUGGUGUUGGGGAUCGGCGAGGCUGGUUUUCCAGCACAGCCUUCCCUUAAAUUAAUUGGCGGUCUCGCCGUGGCCCUCCUCUGCGCAGUAGUAAAACACUCGCAACAGGAGCCCGGCGCGGUCCACUGCCGUAAAACCCCCCAACUUUUUAUAGUUGACCUCGAAUCAGGUAGGACUACCCGCUGAACUUAAGCAUAUCAAUAAGCGGAGGA
rnacentral:misc_RNA from 1 species